UACUAAUACAUAAAAUAUUUGUGAGAAAAACAUGUGUGGGUUCUCUUUCUCAGAAGAACGAGCUAAAGAGUGGAUGUCGAUGAACUCAAUAGAUGAAGAACUGAGCUGAAUGAGUGUUCUCCCAUACUGAUUCUCUUCUCCAAGAAUGAUUUCGGCACGCUGUUGAGAAGAGGAGAAUAAGAAGGAAUUGAUUACUUUUGGGUUGUUGGCAAGACGAACUGAAGCUAAUUCCCAUCACACUUUUCUCUCAAAAUUCUCACUAAAGAACACCAUCUCAGACAGAUUUUUAGCUGAAGAAGAGCUUUUUGCUGAAGGACACGAUUUGCAUCAUAGUUUUCGCAGAAAAAAUGAUUUUGUUGGAAUAGGAUUUAUCAGAGUUGAUUAAUGUUGGACAAAAGGAAGAAGCCUUGCAAGCACUUCAUCAUCUUAUUACAUCAAGGAGAUAUAGAGAAUGGUAAAAGACACAUAAGAGAAAAAUGUUCAAGUAUGUAGAGUUAUGUGUUGACAUGAGAAGGGGGAGGUUUUCCAUGGAUGGCCUAAUUCAAUAUCAUAGUUUCUGUCAACAAGUGAACACUAGUUCACUAGAGGAGGUCAUAAAGCAUUUUAUGCAUUUAGCUACUGAGCGAGUUGAACUGGCUCGCAGUCGAGCCCAUACAUUAGAGGAAGCUUUGAAUGUGUAUGACUUAAAAGCUUUUAAAAGACCUUAAGAUAUUAUGUUGAGUUAUGUUAGUGGGAGAAAGGUAAAGAUACAUCUGAUCGUGAACUGGUCACACCCUGGUUUAAGUUCUUGUGGGAGACAUAUAGAACUGUUUUACAGAUCUUGCGCAAUAACUCAAAGUUGGAGGUUCAGUAUGCUGCAAGUACCCCUACCCCUCUCCAUUUUUUUCUUUCUUUAUUUAUUAUUCUUCUAUUCUUCUAGGAUUUUUGAGUCAACCUGAUAUUGUGUUUAUGUCGUCGGUACAGAAGGGAUUUCGUUAUCUUAACUUUUCACUAUCUAGUUUAGAUAGUAACUUACUGAGCAAGUUGUUUCAAUGUUAUUAAAGCUAUUGCUCUGUCGCAUAAAUUGAUAAAACCGAUACAAAGUGACGUGCUUCGUAGAAGUUUGUCCUUCAUGGAUGUGUUCGUUAACUUCAUCAGGCUUUGAAGAAAAUGUGCUACCCCGUCCAAGAUAACCACAUCUUCUAGCAAAGUUCCAGUUUUUGGAUUUCAAGAAUAUGACGAAUCAAUUAUGAGUGAAACCAGUGUGCUCAUAUAUAUGCAUAUACAUGCCAUCAAUGAUGUUGCUCUAUCCUCUUCUCUUUGUUCAUGAUAUCCUCUUAAGUGGCUGACGGCAGUCGAUGCUCUCCAGUUCUUCCAGGUGGACAACUCUUUGCCAUUUGUAACUUAAUGUACACAAGUCAUUGUUUGUCUCUCUAUUAAACUAGAUGAUAUCAUUUGUGAUGUUGUAGAGUUGCUUUUACGUACCUCCAUCACUACACACAAAGGUUGUUGUUGCUAAGACUCCUUCUUUUGGUUUGUAUUGUCUUCUGUAUUACUAGUAAGAAGCUUGGAUUUUAUGUUACGAUGAACUUAAUUGGACUUUUUGAUUAUAGCUGGUUAGAAAAGUAUUUCCCCAAGUUCAUAUAAGGAGAUCAUCGAUCCUUUAUUAUCCAAUGUGUGAGACUCUUCAACAAGAUGUGGAUAGUGGAAUAGGAAAAAUUGGACUUUUUUAUUAAGUUGAUUCAAGACUCACUAUUUUAUUGGUGACUACUUCACCUAUCUUUUGGUUCAUAUAUUUAUUUAUUAUGUAAAGAUUUGAUCUUUAUGGUGUUUCAUAGUUGAUAGAUCUAGAGAAAGAUGUGGAUAGUGGAAUAGGAGUUUGAUUCAAGACCCUAGUAUUUAUAGAUGACCACUUCACCCAUUUCUUGUUUUGUAUAUAAAAAGUUGAUCUUUAUGGUGUAUGGUAGUAGUUAAUUGAGCUAGAAAAAGAUGUGAAAUUGGAAAAACUGGAAAUUCUUGAUAUCUUGAUUCUAGAGGUGAACACUUGAUCCUUUUCUAGAAGUCUCGCCUUUGUUGCUGAAAAGUUUUGUUCUUGUUGUGGUGUAUGGUAGUUGAUACAACUAGACUGGGGUUCAAAAUAUUGGAUAUUUCAUUGAGAUAAACUAUCUGAUUAUUGAAGUAAAGUUCACUGAAUUCAUAUUUCUUCCCCAUAAGUUAAUUUUGUGUACUGAUGUAAGGUCAGGGAGGUUGAGCAGUCUGGUGACAGAAUUUAAUCUGUCAUAAAUAAUGUAGAUAGUUUUUUGGCUGAGGGAAAACUAUAAGAAGUUGUUGAUGCCCUUGAGGAUGGUUUAAAAGAUACUCAAGCAGCAGCAGUCGUUGAUGAUUGGGUUCAACGUGCUAGGAACAGAGUUAUAACUGAGUAAGCACUAACCUUGUUGCAAUCUUAUGCCACCACUACUAACAUAUGAAAAAACGAUCCGUUAUAGCAAUAAGAUGUCCAGUUUACAUGACUUCUGCUAUUGUGUAUGUAUGCCCUGGUGGAGAUUUGAGUUUUUCAAUCACUUCCCUUGUUAUCUCAUCGAAUGUACGCAACUUGUAAUUAAAUCAAGGAGAUUUGAUGUGUAAGUUGUUUGUUAGUUUCUUUAGCUCAAAUUAGACCGAGUAUAAUAAUGUGAACGAGAACAAGGAUCACUAGCAAAAAAAAAAAAAAUGAAUGUAACACAUUGUUUCCUAUAGAAGUACAUGAUGGGACAAAGACUGACAAAGUUGUCUUUACUCUUGCAAGCAUUUCCAGCACUAUAUUUUAGCAUAUUGCAGCAGCUAUAUAAACUAAUCCUAUAGCUUGUACACUGAUUUUAUAACCUGCAGACAUACAAUCCUAGCAGGGAACCUAGAGCCUCAACUACGCAAACAAAUCAGCAAUCAAAUCAGGAGAAGACAAAUGGGUCUUGUUAAUUAUGACCUUGAUAAUAAAUAAUAAUAUUUGAACAGAUUGAAUAAAUUGUCUAGCGGGAAUAUGAAAUAAUUGGGUUAUCUGAAAGUUUUUGAUUAAGUUGAUCUAAUUAUACUCCUUUUGUAAUGAUGUAAAAGAUCUGACUGUACUUGUUUCUUUGAAUAGAUCAAGGAGUUCAAUGAUGUUAACAUUGAGCUCAGGAUAUUUUUGCUAAGCACCCGGGCUGGUGGCCUUGGCAUUAAUCUUAUUGCUACAGACACCUGCGUUUUAUAUGACAAUGACUAGGUACUUUCUUUGAGUUCUUUUGUUCUUUAUCUACAAUGCUAGUACGAUCAUCUGGAGUUCCCUGGAGUUGUACCUCACACAUUUAUUGGCAAGUUUUCUACUUCAGCUAAGCUUAUCAAAAGAUUGUAAUACUUAUUUUUACCAUGUCCAUCUUGAAUUGACAAAUUACUGCAAAAUAUUUUUAGCUUGUUUCUUAUCAUCAAUAUCAAAAAAUUUAAUCAGAAAAGUAAGUAGCACUUAUGCAGCCUGUUCAAGUCUUCCUAUCAGUCACACUUAUGCAGAUGUUGUGGCUGUGAUUUUUUUUAUGUCACAAACUUGUGCAGAUAUUCUGUGUGUAUGUGUGUGUUACUUUGGACCUAGAAGAUCCCACCCCAUAACUCCCAUUCCCUGGGGAUCAAAAGUAUGUUUCCCGUUUCUCUUCUUUGGUGAUUCAAACUCUCAAUCAUUUGAUUGCAAAUGGAGUUCUCUUUCUACUGAAGCAGCCUCUCUUAUCAUUUAUGCAGAGUGUUCACAUCCUCCAACAUAAACAACAAUCCUAGGAAACUGCUUCUUCCGGAAGAGGUCUAUUCUUUCUAUUAAUAAGACAGAGAUGAAACGGCUUGCACGUGAGCAUGUGCAGAAGGUCCUAAUGGAGCAAGAAAUGUUAAGCUUAGAGCUGGAGAACAAGAAGAACAAGCUUGAUCUUGGGGCAGAGAACUGAAUAAACGUGAAGCCUUCACUGAGCGAGAAGAGAAAAAGCUUGAUGAGGAGAAGAAACAGAAAAAUGCCAGUAAUUUAAUUUGAAUUGUGGCCACGAGUAAACUCGAUCUAUUGUAGUGAAUGAUGAAGUGUUUUUGUACUAUUGUCAUAUAUGUUUGAAUGCAUUUGAUUUUGUUGAAUUUAUUGAUACUAGUUGUACAAGACAUGUUUCUCGAAGUUUAUCUGAAAUAUAUCGCUUCGAUUUCAUUAUUAUUUAA